AUCCUCCAAGGCUAAAUACUCCUGAUUGACCGAUAGUGAACCAGUACCGUGAGGGAAAGGCGAAAAGAACCCCGGCGAGGGGAGUGAAAAAGAACCUGAAACCGUGUACGUACAAGCAGUAGGAGCCCCAUCACUCAAGUGCCUCGCACUGAGUGAUGCAAUAACAUCACCGAAAAUAGCGCCGAAUUUGCUAACAAGGUUGGUCAUUUUUUCAAGCCGUCGCGCAGUGUACCUAGAAGUACACGAGCAACGGAAGUUAAAAAAUCGGGCAAGAUUGAACGCAAAGGCAAGCGGGACAUUUGAGGAUGGGGUGACUGCGUACCUUUUGUAUAAUGGGUCAGCGACUUAUAUUCUGUAGCGAGGUUAACCGUAUAGGGGAGCCGUAGGGAAACCGAGUCUUAACUGGGCGAAUGAGUUGCAGGGUAUAGACCCGAAACCCGGUGAUCUAUCCAUGGGCAGGUUGAAGGUUGGGUAACACUAACUGGAG
rnacentral:rRNA from 1 species